AUUCAAACCAGUAUUUUACCUACUGGAAUCCUGGUCUUGGUGCUGUUGGCACAGGUUUUUGGUCCCAACCCGGGUACUAAAUUUGGACAAGUCUCUCCUACUAAACUAGUCAACUCAGUCUAAACGUUGUCCAGCCGAGUGUCUGCAACCCAUGAGCAAUGCAUCAGAAGAAGCAGCAGUCCAAACUCUCUGUGGCCCCUUUCCUCCCAUCUGCUCUCUUCUAAUGGUUUGAUGGAGAU